rnacentral:sRNA from 1 species
CGUUGUGCCCCUCGAAGAGGAGAUGGCGGAGUCGUUGAGGUCUCCGCGCCGCUCCCUGUACAAACUGGUGGGCUCGCCGCCUUGGAAAGAGGCUUUCCGGCAGAGAUGCCUGGAGAGAAUGAGAAACAGCCGGGACAGGCUCCUAAACAGGUACCGCCAGGCUGGAAGCAGUGGGCCAGGGAAUGCUCAGAACAGCUUUCUAGUGCAAGAGGUGAUGGAAGAAGAGUGGAAUGCUUUGCAGUCAGUGGAGAAUUGUCCAGAAGACUUGGCUCAGGUCAGGCUGGGCUGUGUGUUUUCAGGGAGGGGGACUGCACCACCAAGAACGGCUCGUGUCCUCUUUUAUUUGUUUACUUGAGUCCUCUAAACCCACCAUUCCCCUACCCCCAUUUAGAAUUCAACAGCCUUUAACCCAGGCUUUUCUACCGUUAAUGUUAGACUUGUCUAGAUGAAAUGUUCUGAAAUACCAGACCGUAGACCUGCUCAUCACUGCAGCAUCAUCAUUUAUGAAACUAAAAAGAAAGAAAUUUCAUUUCUUGCCUCCACCCUUGGAAAUUAUGAUUCAGUAGGAAUAGGCUAGGAAUCUCUUUCUCUUCCUCUCUCUCUCUUUUUUUUUUUUUUCUGGCUUGCUCUGUCGCCCAGGCUGGAGUGCAGUGGCAAGAUCUCAGCUCACUGCAACCUCCACCUCCUGGGUUCAAACGAUUCUCCUGUCUCAGCCUCCCAAGUAGCUGGGAUU